GAAGGGGGCGAGCGUUGUUCGGAUUUACUGGGCGUAAAGGGCGCGCAGGCGGCUAUUUUUGUCAGGCGUGAAAGCCCCGGGCUUAACCUGGGAACUGCGCUUGAAACGGGAUGGCUAGAGAUCGGGAGAGGAGAGUGGAAUUCCCAGUGUAGAGGUGAAAUUCGUAGAUAUUGGGAAGAACACCGGUGGCGAAGGCGGCUCUCUGGACCGAUACUGACGCUGAGGCGCGAAAGCGUGGGGAGCAAACAGGAUUAGAUACCCUGGUAGUCCACGCUGUAAACGAUGUGUGCUAGACGUUGGGGAGCCUAGCUCUUCGGUGUCGCAGCUAACGCGGUAAGCACACCGCCUGGGGAGUACGGCCGCAAGGUUA
rnacentral:rRNA from 1 species